CGAUUUGUAAACCGGAUUAGCAAAGUAUGACUGUUUUUGUAAAUACCUUUAAGAAAUGAUUUUUAUGAAAUUAAUUUUUGGGGUUUUUGGUUUUGUUUAUAGAUUUUUGCUGAUAAUGGAAGCUGCUUCUUAUACAGAAUGGAGGAGCAGUUCACAGGCGGGUAUGUGAGCAAUUGAACUUGCUCAGAUGUUGUUUGAUGAAAAAAGCCUGAGAAGGAUUUUUUUAUUGCACUGUUGUAAUCGAUGGGUACUAAGCGUGGAAAGGUGGAGACUGCUCUUGAAGAUUUUGAUAAUAUGCCAGGAAGGAAUUCGGUCUCUCUGAAUUGGUGGUAUUAUCCAUGCUUUGUGUUUUAGUCCAAAUGUUCUAGUGGAUACAUGAACACAUAAGGAAGAGUGGAGCUGAUUGUAAAUGUGUGUGUUUAGAGAAAUCAUUUGAAGUGCACUGCAUACCUUGUGGAUUGUAUUAUCCAACUGUACGCAUGUGAGGGAAAGCUGCAAUUUAGCUCUUCGAGGCUAUGCAGAAACUUAUAAUGAUUAGCACCGGAUCGGACCACAACUGCAGCUUUGCUUAGUGCAUCUCCUCAGAAAGGUCUGAUAAGAAGUUAUCUUGAUGUCUCUUGCUUACUUUUGGGGCUUAAUGGCUUAUAUAGCAAUGGGAGACAUGACGACAUGAAGACUUUCUGUUGUAUCUUACAGACCUCUACUACUUUAUGUUAUUCAUUAAUAUAAUAAUGACAUUACAUACAAAAACUGUGUGCAGGUCUAUGUUGUCGUCGGCCCCCAACCGUGCAAGCGGUCAUCUAGUCUUAACUAUACCUGGGAUGAAAGAAAUAACAGUCUCCCGUAGCAAAGUUCCAUCUGUGGUUGGUCUGAUGCAGGCAUUUGCUUUUUUAUAAGCUCUUUUGACUUGGAUUUCCAUCUUAUGUGCUUUUAACCAAGUUAUUAAUCCUUCUCAGAUCAGUUUCGUCUAAGUGACAUCCUAUCGGCAGAAUUUGGAGUAGCUCUUGCAGUGUGAGCGCACAAGAUUCUUCAGUAAACAAGACCUCGAGUAGGCACGCAAAAGCAAGGGCAUAUGUCCUCCAAAACUUCGUUGGAGGCUGCCCUUCCUGCUCUUUUAUGCUAACGUGUCUACAUGUUCUGAUCACCAUGAAGUAAAGCCUGCAUAGUGUGAAUAAAUUUACACUUGGAGUAGUCUUCGCGUGUCUACAUGUUCUGAUCACCAUGAAGUAAAGCCUGCAUAGUGUGAGUAAAUCAGAAAGUUGUUGAAAUUUAAAUUGCAAGGGUGCAAGAUGAAUCUAAAGUGAUGACUGCAGAGAGUGGAACGCAACUUGGGAUGGCUCCUGAGUUCGAUACUUUCAUGGAUGCCGUCAUUCUCUUCGCGAUGGUCUCAUGAGGGUUGUUGAUGGCAUGGUUCAUGGUGAGAUCGUUGUUGCUGCUGGAUAAGGAAAUGUUGGAAAGGGUUGUGCUUCUACAAGAUCUUCUCUCAAGCAAGCUGGUGCCAAGGUCCUAAUGACUGAAAUUGUGGUUGAAAUUUUUAGGACUUGUUGUAUCACUUCUCUUUAAGAGACCUUAAUAAUAGGGAGUUGAAUCCUUUUUUUUUAAUGAUUUUGGACUAAAUUUAUGAGCACAGUUCAAUGUAAUGGAGCUGUCAUUUGUCAUUUGGUACUAGAUGAUUCAGGUUUAUUUGGAAUUUGAAUUUUAGUAUUUUAAUAUAUAUUGUCAUUUGAAUUUCACUUGAA